GCCGUCCCAUCGAUAACUUGCACUGAGACCCCUCGCUUCAUGACGUUGGCUAUUUUUCGCUGAGCGCUGCCGCCAGCCUGAGCGAGUUCACGGAAUCAAUUUUUAAAUGACAACACAUGGGCAUUUUGACUCACAUAAACAAGGGCAACAUCAUAGAGAUAGUGGAGCAAGUGGAUGGAAGGAACCAGGAAGACUGACAACUUUGCAAGUCAGAGCCACCAUACAAAUUUGGACUUUUACUUGAGAGAUAAAUAAACGUUAUUCCUGUUUAAGCAACCA